rnacentral:lncRNA from 1 species
AGAGUGAAGCAUCCUUGACAAAGAAGAGAGAAGCCACUUCAAAGCGAUAAAUAUUUUCUAACUCUUCUUUGUAGUUUAUAUUGUUUCAUUUGCUCAUUUAGGAGUUUAAAUCUUUCUUUUUGUUUGUUAAACUACUUGUAAAGGUUGGUUGGUUAGCCCGCAAAACCAACGGGAUAGGUUUUUGGUGAGCCCGGAAAACCAAAGUGUAAAGGUUCG